AGGUUGUGUAAGAGGAGAUUUUAUCAUAUUCUUUAAUCAGAUUUUUGAUGCUUUAUGUAAGCUUUCAGUCGACUCAAAUGCUAAUGUACAGAGUGCUUCUCAUCUUCUAGAUCAACUUUUGAAGGAUAUUGUUACUGAAAGUGAUCAAUUCAUGCUUAGUCCUUUCUCUUCGAAAUAUUCUAUUAUUUGGAUUGUACGGUUCGAGAACCAGGAGGUAGGAGACAAAUACAGAAAAUCCCCAGAACACUCAGGAGGAACAACCUGGGAAAACUAUGGAUGUUCCAGAAGACAAACAAUAGAAUAAUCAAACACCUCGUCGAGGAGUACCUCAAAGACCCUAGGGAUUUGCAAAUCAGGGGAAUGAAAAUAAUGACGUGCCAGAGUCUUCUCGUAGAAAUGAGAACAUAAGGCAACCCAGAACUAGGGAACAGGAGAUCCCUCCUAAUAACGAGAGAAAUCUUGGGACACAACCUGAGACAAGUGGGUUACCACCGAGACACCCCCAACGUCCUUCUCGAACUGAUAGGGAGGAGGCAUACACAUACCCCGGCCGGGGGGGGGGGUGUAUCUAACCUUUCCCGAAGGACAAGGCCUGUGCAGGACAAGGCAAGUUCUAGCUUGGGACAUACAAGAUCCUGAGAGUACAGUCGAUCAAAAAGACAUACGCGAGGAGGAGAUAAACCUCACCUUAAUUAUGAUCGAAAAAGUAUGAGUAAUACGAGGAGCUAUCAAUCUGAGAGUUACUUAGAUACAAGGUUUGUGAGCAAUCAUGAUCAAAGAUAGCCAGAUCUUUGUGAACAUUUGAAUCAAAGACAACCCUAUUUACACGAGCGCUUAAAUCAGAAUGCACCUGAUUUACGCCAACAACUUAAUGCUAAUCGAAAGCAAGAAGAUCCAAUCUAAUUGUGAAUCAUUGAGUUGGAAGAUAAAUUCAGAAGAUACAAAGAUGGGGAAUAUGGGAAACUGCCUGGUUAUGACUCGGAUGAAGAACACGAGCCUUUCCUUCCAGACAUUAAGAACUCUAAAUUUCCCCAAGGAUUCAAAAACCCUCACGUCUCGCCGUACGAUGGGACUUCAGCCCCAGUCGCCCACCUCAACAAUUUCAAUACCAUAAUGCGAGCCAGCAAUGUCUCGAAUAAAUUACGUUGUAUUUUGUUUCCCACCUCCCUGACUGGAGCAGCGAGUAGCUAGUUAAAUAAGUUUACCCAUUAUUUAAUUACUUCUUGGGAACAGCUGUCUAAGGAUUUUAAAAAACAAUUUCAGCUUCCGGGAAGGAAGGCUAAAGCUAUAUAAAAAUUCAAGCUUAUACUUCACUUGAAAGGAUUAGUUAGAAUGCAUCACGAGGGGUAGGAUAGACUUCAAGCAUCCCUUUCGUUCAAGGAAGGAGGGUUGAAGACGUAUCGUACCCCCAGUGAUCUUUCUUGAACGAACGUGCUUACGAGAGUAAUGUUGAAUUUUUAUGUAACAAACUUUGGCUUCUGGAAAGGAAAGCUGAAGUUGUAUGAAUAUUCAAGCUUAGACUUCGCUUGAAAGGAUCAAUGGAAAGUAUCUCGAGGGGUAGGGUAGACUUAAAGCAGCACCUUUGUUCCGGGAAGGAGGGUGGAAGACGUAUCGUACCCCCGUUGAUCUUGCACAAACAUGCAUGUAAGAGUCAUGUUGAAUUUUUAUAUAACAAGCUUCAACUUCUGGGAAAGAAGGCUGAAGUUGUAUAAAAAUUCAAGCUCAGACUUCACUUGAAAAGAUCAAUGGGUGGAAGAGUCUUUGGCAGUAAAGCAGACUUCAAGCUGUCCCUCCCUUCUGUGAUAGAUUGUUGAAGCCACGCGUCACUCCCAAUGAUAUUCCACACUUGGAGAGCAUGUCGGUAUGAGUCUCCUGGGCCUAGGGAAAGUCUAGGAGGUGCAUGCUUAUACCUUUAGGAUCUCUUGGGUAGUCAAUCUCCUUCAGUGAAGUGCGGUGGCAUUUGAGGGUCACUAAAGCGAGAACUCAGACUUCCAGCAGGAUAAGCUUAUCACAAGGACUCCCUAACUAGUUUAUAAUGUCUCGAGUUGCUUCCUUCUUAUGUAACCCCAGGGAGGCAAUCACACGAGGCGACAGGGAUGGCGCUGAGCGAAGUAUGCUAAAAAUGGCCUAUUCCUACAAACAGUACCAUAACCAGGCCUCAUUGGUAACCUAGCAGACACCGAUGGUAUUGAUGGUCUCCUCUCAGCAUGUGCCAUUCCAGGAUUUUUUUCCAAACAACUUCACCACCUAGAGACAAGGCGGGAGAAGUGGUUGUCAAAAAACAAAGUCAAAAAACAAAUCCGACCUCCAUGGCGGCACCAGCGUUGUAGUCUCUAGCUAGAUAGAGUCGUUACAUUCGAUGACCCUUUCUGAGUUAGUUGGCGUAACUGCAUCGAGUCAUAGCUCCUUAGUCUGGCCCGAGCGCCUCUCAUACUACUCCGUAUGUGCAUGGCGGCACGACGAGGGAUCUGAGCCUCGGGACAUCGGUAGUCGACCUUGCCCCCAUGGUGAUCGCUGGCCAGAUCUGAGCCUCUAAGGACAAAUAUUAGUGCAUCACGUGUUUCACGACUACGUGCACUCGUCCUUGUCACUCUUUUUGAGUAGAUUGAGGCAUCGAGUCUCUUUAUGGGCAACAUGUCGGCUUUGCACCUUUCUGGCCUUUGGCCAGACCUCAACAAGCUAUCAAGAGAUCUACCUUCUUUUCUUGAACGAAGCAUUUUUUAGCUCUCAAUGAAAGUAUCAAAAUUUUUACU